CUGAGUGUUGAUGAAUAACUCUCUCACUGAGAAACCAAAUGCAACUAGACUGUUUAAGCGGUUAAAUGAACAAAACUCACAAGUUCUGUUUUCAGAUUUAUUGGGAGAGCAGGCUGGCAGUUGGUGGGAUUUUUGCAGCCUCUAAACAAACCUAAUUCUCUUGAUGUGAUACUUGUUGCAUUGCUCUGUGGACAGAAGGAAAGCAUAUAUUGGUUAGAGGAGUGGAAGUGAGCAUGGGAAAUUUCAGCAGAGAAAUGGCAGUUAGUAUAAAGAGAGGGCACUAAAAGAUGAGAUAGAGGAAGCAAUGCAUUGUCCUCUCAACUAGAGGACUAUCCAUGCUAAUAAGGCAUAGUUAGAUGAUCUUAUUUUUCGUCAACUGACAUUAAAAGAAGUGAAUAUCUGACAGUGUUAUAUAUAGCAUAUAGUGUGAAACUUUUAUUGACAUAAAUAACCAUUCUUUUAUUUUCAGGUGACUGAUCGGCAGCUCUGUACUUGUCAUCUUACUCCUGCACAAAAUUAUUAAAUUUCUUUAGAUUUGUGGUAAAGUAACAUUGUAAAUGGCUAGAAUUUUAUUUAGGUAAUUCAUGAUACAGCUGUUGUAAGAAAAUGUGAACUAAAGAAUGUAAUAUACUGUGGAAUGUAGAAUAAAUGAACCCCAAUGAA